rnacentral:rRNA from 1 species
UACGUAGGUGGCAAGCGUUGUCCGGAUUUACUGGGCGUAAAGAGCGCGCAGGCGGUCGUUCAAGUCGCGUGUGAAAGCCCCCGGCUCAACUGGGGAGGGUCACGCGAUACUGAUCGACUCGAAGGCAGGAGAGGGUAGUGGAAUUCCCGGUGUAGCGGUGAAAUGCGUAGAUAUCGGGAGGAACAUCAGUGGCGAAGGCGGCUACCUGGCCCAAUACUGACACUCAGGUGCGACAGCGUGGGGAGCAAACAGG